GGUAGGAAAUAUUUUUGAUUAUUGAUGUUAGCACAAUAUAGAUAAUAAUAUAAAGGAAAUUGUGUGUUGAUUGUUUCUUACGGAUCAAUGCAGAGAGGGAUAACGACUCGAGUUGUUUCUUUGCUAAGGUCAGAGCCUUGAACAUAACAGAUUUUCCAAUGGUUUCUUUGCUAAGGUCGAGUUGUUUCUUUGCUAAGAAGCAAAGGUUUGUGACUUUCAUAAAUAUAUAUUAGUUUCGGCCAUCAAUGUACAAGGUAUAAUUUAGUUUGAUGGUAUAAAUGUUGGUUUUAAUAUCUUAGUAACCCAAGUUCGAACCACAUGCUUGACACUUUUUCACACUUUUUAAAAGUGGGACCCACUUACCUGCUGACGUGGCGGCUCAGGAAUGAGGCAACUGCCUCAUUAUAUUAUAGCUACUAGGAUCGGCCCGCCCUACGGGCGGAAAGAUAAUAAUAAAAACUGUUUUAUAUAAAUUAUAUUAAUUUUAUGAAGCAUUUAAAAAUUAUGGUGGAUUGAAAACUAUAUUAUAAAAAACAAUAAUGAAUAGAAUUGGGGAAUUGCCACUAAUACCACUUUCCUAAUACCACUUUUCAACUUUACACUUUUCAAAUUUACCAUUAAAAUUUUAAUGGCUAAAGUACCAUUAUACCCCUCAUUUCAUUAAUUUAACCUAGAUCUAUUCUUCUCCAAAUGUCUGUCACGAGAUGAAACUGAGAUCAAAUUGAGACGAGCUCCAACGAGAUCUCCGGCAAACUCGGCGAUCUCCGGCGAAUUCGGCGAUCUCCGGCGAACUUGGCGAUCUCCGGUGAACUCGACGAUCUCCGACGAACUCGACCGGAUUGGGAGAGCGUGGCGGCGAGUGGACAUCCCGCCGUUCCUCCGCCGGCAUUAUGUAGUCGUAGUAAUCAUCCGAUGCUAAAUCGGUCACGUUCGUCACGAAUCGCAUGCCGAGAAGUUCUCCGGCAAAGCUGACAGACUCGACAAGCUCAGACGAACGAGACGAUCUCUCUCCCAACGCCUAAGAAAUACUAACAAAGAGAAUUACAAAUGUGUGUUGUCAGCUUUUGGAUUUAAAGGAUGUUGUGGAGAAUAUGUGUGGUGAUAUGCAUAUCUAAGUAUCUCACUUCCUUAAAGUAAUACAAUGCUACUAUUUGUAGUUUGACUAGCAAUGUUUUAGUAUGUGCAGUAUAUGAGGUGGAACGUUGGUGUUUUGGUAGUGUAACGUUCUAUUUAUACUUUGUGAGUUUAUUUUUUAUGUCUUGUUUUGUGUAUAAUAUCUACAGAAGCAGUGGAGAUGAAUGAUGAGUUUGUUGAGUUACGAAAGCAUACUAUUUUUGAAUCUUAUUUUUGGAAGUGAAUGCUGAUGCGUAGAAAUAAUAUGUGACUGGCUUUUGUUCAGAUUUUGAAAAUUUACGAGGUUGGUGAGCUGUUUGAAGAGGCAAGAGAGACUCUGAAGAAGAAUGUGGUUUGUGCUAUCAAAGAAUUACGUAUUUAUAACGCUUUAUAAAAGUUGCAGAGUUGGCUUCUUAGUACAUUCUUCUCUCUCAUCUUAUUUAGACAUCUCUUAUACUAAAACAAUUGUAUCUCUCUUUUAGUAGUUACAUAGUUGAAGAUAUUAGUUGGACAUGUAAGUGAGUUUGGUUUCAAUUGUUUCUUUUAUAGAAGAGUGAGAUAUGGAGAAGCCUUGAUGUUCUCAGACUAUGUUAAAGCAAUAUAUCCCUUGUUGAAGGACGUGGCUCUUUCACCAGAUAUGUCUUUUUUGUGUUGAUUGUCUUUUGGAGGGAUUUUAGAAAAAUUACCUUAUAAGCCAUUGUAAAUAAAUUUAUAAACGCUUAUAAAUCACUUUGAGUUUCUUACA